AGUUAUUUAGCUUAUGUAAAGCAAUUAUUUUGAAAAUAAAAGAAAGGUUUAGCUUAAUAACUU
rnacentral:tRNA from 1 species